ACUCCCUGACCAUUGAUUUGAAAGCAAUCCGACGGUCCAGCUUUUAUCAUCCCUUAAAGUGAAUAAAACCCUUGGCGGGCAGCCAUUCUCCCAUUUCCCCCCCAAAUCGUUCCACCUGCCUCCCCCAAACCCCACGAAGCCAUCACCACUAGAACAAUCUGCAGUUAACCCGCCACCACCACCACCCUCCGGAUACAGCUCGACAACACCAGAACCUGCACUCACCUCCUCGUUGCUCCACAGCCGCUGCUGCACCUACAGGUGUGGAUUGUGUGCAAUUGUAGGUAUACGGUGGUUGGCUUGAAGUAUCACCGUCAAAUAUUUGGUUUCUGGUGAUUCCAAUAUCUAAGAUAGCAAAACUAGUUGACUUGGAUUUUUCUGUCCCAUGUGGCCUUGCAAGGUGGAGGCUGAAGUGGCGGUCGAGUGAGAGAAGGGAUUACGUCGCUUAACCUGGUCACAUGGCUUGACACUUGAGCUUUAAUGGUUGACAUGGAUCUGCUAUCUCAGAUAGUAGAACCCUAUGCAGUUAAUCUCGGCGAUAUCUCGGUGAUAUCUCGGCGAUAUCUCGGUUAUCGGCCCCUCACCAAAAUAUCGGUUUCCGAUAUCGGUCAUAUAUCGGUCAACGAUAAUAUCGGCGGUCAACGCCGAAAUAUCGGCCGAUAUCUUGCAAAACCGUAUCGGUUGUCUCAGCGAUAUCUCGUUUGGGCCAAUUUUGUAUAAAAAAAUUCUGGAUUUCAGCAAAAAAACGAAGGUAAAACGCUGCUGGGCCAAUUUUGUAUAAAAAAUCUGGAUUUCAGCAAAAAAACGAAGUUAAAUAUGGUGUAAAAACUGCCUCACGCGGUACCCCGGGUUUCGGAGCUGCAUUCGUGUCCGCAGGAUGCGCGGGCACGCACGAGUUCAACCAAAUUUCCAGCUCAGAAACCCUUUUUUUUUUGCACCCCCCUGCGCGCGCGGGUAGGACUUGUGGUAAAACAUGUCAUAAAGCUAUAAUGGAGUAGUAAAUGCUUUACCUUAUAAACACCCACUCACUUUGUUCCCACACCAAUGUGGGACAAAGUAUUUACCACCUUUUGAGACUUUCAUUCCCACACCUAGACUUUCUACCACCUCUUGUAUAUAUAUAAAUAUAUAUAUUUAUGCAUGAUAUUAGACUUCUAGUAUAUAUAUAGGCUCUAGAUAUGAAUAUAAAUAUAAAUAUAUAUAUUUAUGCAUGAUAUUAGAAAUUACCGAUAUCUCACCGAUAUCUCACCGCGAUAAACGAUAUCUCAUAUAUCGGUCCUUGACCGAUAACCGAUAUUUUUCCGCAUUAACUGCAUAGGAACCUAAGUUAAUUGGAUUAAAGUUUGCAGCCAACGUGGGGGAGUGAUGGUGAGAUCCGCCGUUUAAGAAAGUGGGUUUGGUCCUAAUUUAUCAAAUGUGAGAGGAUUUGGUGAUUGCUAGGAAGUCAAAUGCGAGACAUAUGAAAAGAUCUUUCCUUUCAAGAACAUUUGCGCUAGGAGAAAGGUAAUCUAUAUCAGGGUACACUCAGUGGAAGAUGGGGCAUGGCUGGGUCUGAAUGAAGAGAGGCCAGAAACUACCAUCUUCCGACAAGUUAAGUUGCGGCAGGUGCUUUUCGAUACAUAACAGGUCUGCGAAUCAAAUUGUAGUUUAACUCAUACAAUGUCAAACUUCAAAUGUUUGUCAUCCUCGCCACAGCACGCGGGUUGAAAGCACUACUACUGUUUUAGUAUGGUGAUAUAAACAAACUCCUAUGUAAUUUUUGGUUGUUUGAAUGUGAAUUACUGUUUAAUUCUUUGUAUACAUAUGAACGUUUUGGCAUGUAUGUGAGUAACAAUGUAAAUAGAAGUAAAUUAUUUUUUUU